GCCAGGCGUGGUGGCACUCGCCUGUCAUCCCAGCAGCUCAGGAGGCUGAGGCAGGAGGAUCGUGAGUUCAAAGCCAGCCUCAGCAAUUUAGUGAGGCCCUAAGCAACUCAGUGAGACCCUGUCUCCA
rnacentral:sRNA from 1 species